UCAUCAUAUUAAUUUUGAUCAAAUUAUUUACAGAUCCACAAAUCUGUAUUGCGUUGAAUGGGAAACCGGAGCGUUACGAUAAUUUAACUGACAAUGCAGUAAAAAAUGGUUUAAAUAAUAAUACGACGAAGGUUAAAGUCGGAACUCUCAUAUUGGAAGUCUCGAAUUAUGAUAGCAAUCGGAACGAAAUUUCUGCAGGCAUCAACAUAGAAUUUAAGUACCCAAAUUCACAAUUUAACUCAUUGCCGAAGUGGCAACCUACAUGUGCGUUCUUCAACGAAACACUCAGUUAUUGGUCAACAACAGGAUGCAAGACUAAUAGUGCGACAUAUUUUGUCAAAUGCACUUGUGACCAUACAACCAGCUACGCGAUCCUUUUUCAGACCAGCGAAUCUGAUAAUGAUGCGGUAUGUAAUUGUCAAAUAAUUGAAAUAGCCAUACGAUAUAUCUAUGCCCUAUCUGAGUGAAGAAUUUGCUUUUUUUUAAAUUUUUUAAAUCUUAUAUUGUAAACACAAA